rnacentral:miRNA from 1 species
CUUGGAAGGUGAGGAGUCCUGGUGGUGCUUGAGAGUGAGCUGCUCAAACUGAUACUCGACUGAGAUGACUGGGGCAUGCCGGUCUGCCUUAGCUGUAGUCCUGCCAGCCG